CAGCGACUUAUAUUCUGUAGCAAGGUUAACCGAAUAGGGGAGCCGAAGGGAAACCGAGUCUUAACUGGGCGUUAAGUUGCAGGGUAUAGACCCGAAACCCGGUGAUCUAGCCAUGGGCAGGUUGAAGGUUGGGUAACACUAACUGGAGGACCGAACCGACUAAUGUUGAAAAAUUAGCGGAUGACUUGUGGCUGGGGGUGAAAGGCCAAUCAAACCGGGAGAUAGCUGGUUCUCCCCGAAAGCUAUUUAGGUAGCGCCUCGUGAAUUCAUCUCCGGGGGUAGAGCACUGUUUCGGCAAGGGGGUCAUCCCGACUUACCAACCCGAUGCAAACUGCGAAUACCGGAGAAUGUUAUCACGGGAGACACACGGCGGGUGCUAACGUCCGUCGUGAAGAGGGAAACAACCCAGACCGCCAGCUAAGGUCCCAAAGUCAUGGUUAAGUGGGAAACGAUGUGGGAAGGCCCAGACAGCCAGGAUGUUGGCUUAGAAGCAGCCAUCAUUUAAAGAAAGCGUAAUAGCUCACUGGUCGAGUCGGCCUGCGCGGAAGAUGUAACGGGGCUAAACCAUGCACCGAAGCUGCGGCAGCGACACUAUGUGUUGUUGGGUAGGGGAGCGUUCUGUAAGCCUGUGAAGGUGGCCUGUGAGGGUUGCUGGAGGUAUCAGAAGUGCGAAUGCUGACAUAAGUAACGAUAAAGCGGGUGAAAAGCCCGCUCGCCGGAAGACCAAGGGUUCCUGUCCAACGUUAAUCGGGGCAGGGUGAGUCGACCCCUAAGGCGAGGCCGAAAGGCGUAGUCGAUGGGAAACAGGUUAAUAUUCCUGUACUUGGUGUUACUGCGAAGGGGGGACGGAGAAGGCUAUGUUGGCCGGGCGACGGUUGUCCCGGUUUAAGCGUGUAGGCUGGUUUUCCAGGCAAAUCCGGAAAACC
rnacentral:rRNA from 1 species